GACGUAGGGCGCGAGCGUUGUCCGGAUUUAUUGGGCGUAAAGAGCUCGUAGGCGGCUUGUCGCGUCGACCGUGAAAACUUGGGGCUCAACCCCAAGCCUGCGGUCGAUACGGGCAGGCUCGAGUUCGGUAGGGGAGACUGGAAUUCCUGGUGUAGCGGUGAAAUGCGCAGAUAUCAGGAGGAACACCGAUGGCGAAGGCAGAUCUCUGGGCCGUAACUGACGCUGAGGAGCGAAAGCGUGGGGAGCGAACAGG
rnacentral:rRNA from 1 species